ACGAACGCUGGCGGCGUGCCUCAAACAUGCAAGUCGAGCGGGGUUCUGGAAGUGGGCGACCACGGAAGGGACCUAGCGGCGGACGGGUGAGUAACGCGUGGGUAAUCUGCCCAAGGGACCGGGAUGACACCUCGAAAGGGGUGCUAAUACCGGGUGACCCUGGUGCUCCGAGUGGGGGACCAGGGAUAGGUGGCCUCUUGACAAUGCUACUGCCCUUGGAUGAGCCCGCGUCCCAUUAGCUAGUUGGCGGGGUAAAGGCCCACCAAGGCGACGAUGGGUAGCCG
rnacentral:rRNA from 1 species